CAAUGUAACUUGAUUACAACAUUUCCUUCUACCAUAAUAACCGGUGUAUAUAAAUUACUUGCUCUACCCUAUCGUAAUUUAAAAUCAUUCUGUAAUUUCAGGAUGUGUAUCUCGUUAAGAAAUCAUUUAUAUUCACUACUUGAUUGUUCUCAAAAUAGAUAUUUAUGUUUCUCAUAUAUCGCCCUGUGUCUCGCUAUGACGAGCAUGUACAUAAGAUCGUGGUUAAACUUAAUUUAAUUUGGGUUGUGAUCAUUAGUUGAACUAAAUGUCUUUUUGAACUAUAUCUUGCUGACAAAGAUGUGAAAAUAAAGUUGUUCGCAGUGCGAUCGAUCAAACUUACCGUAGUAUUUAAUUUUCAAAAUUUUUAAUUUAAUUAAAAAUGUGGAAUACGAUCAUCGUAUUUGAAUAUUAUCGUUUUUUCAGAUCGCGUCAUUUUCGCUACGCUUUAGAAACGUUACGAUCGAGACUUGAGUAUCUUGAUACAUUGAAAAAGAUGGAAAGUGUUUAAAUGUCAAAUAUAUUUGCACCGAAUUAGGUUUUAUAGCUAACAGUCUGUCUGCCUGUAUUAUCUUUGUACAUAAUAAUUCGGCCCACUAGAAAUUAUAGAGAAUUUGAAUUUUUAUAAAGAUAUAAAAACGUUCUUGUGUACUCUUAUUAAAGUCUGAUUUAUAAUCAUAUUUCGUUACCAUUAAGAGGCUGCGAACUGUAAUUUACAUUUGAAUCGAAAGAACAAUUUUAUUAAUUUUGUUUAGAGAUCAUAAAGAAAUUCAGUAUGAUUGAAAUUAACGUAGAUCGUGUAGUUCUGAAUUCUGUGACCAUGCUUUUGUUGAUGCUUCAAGUUCCUUGUUACGCCCCUAGGCUUACUAUAGGUUGUGUCCCUAACCGUCUCCCUUGGUACUACAAUAUCGCAGACAGAUCGUCUUACAUGACCAGAGAGAUAUACACAAUGUAGCGAUAAGCGCAUAGUUGUCGUCAAGCAGGGAGUUCUAAAAAACAUCGAUUCGCCUUCGUCCGUUAUUUUACCUACACAAAAACGAUGGCAUACGUGACCAUAGCCGCGAACGGUUGCGAGACCCGAGCGUGGUGGGGGUCAUCUCCCAGAGAAGACAAAGGACAAAAUCGAAGGGCAGUCAGUGGCAAAUGAGGAUUCAAACCGAAUGCGUCGAGAGGUUCAGAGGAAUAAAAUCGAGAAAAUACCUGGAAGGUGAGAGGUCUUCCUUCGAUGCAGCACGCAUGCGGCUGUGAAAUCGUUUGGGUGUUAGAUGUUCUUCGCUGUCCUCCUGAGUAGAUGGAUGAUAAGGAUAAUAGAAGGGCUUUUCCUUCCCUCCGACUGUUUUCAUUAGCACUCUGCCAGAACUAUAUCUGCGAAUACAUAUAAAUUUGUGCAUACAGUAAAAUUUAUUUGUCAACAAACUGUCGUUUCUCUCAUCUAUGAAAUCUGUUAUUUAUUUAAAAAAACAGCAAUAGUAUAUAAUAUACAUAUAUUUUUCCCUGUAGAAACCACGUUACAUAUGUUGUUAUUGGUCGUGAAAAGAUGAGAGCCAUUUUUAUCGGAGUACGUAUCGGGAAAGUUUAUUCGUUAAACUUUUUACGAACAUAACAAUUUUUCAGACAAUAAAUGGUAAAAAAAAUGAAGGAUCAAGGAAACAGAUUUUAAAAUAAAUACUAAAAUAGAGGAGGCCGAAAACUUUUGUUACCAUUUUAAUUAACAUCUCUUUUUAAUUGCAGGCGAGGAAGGAUGUGGAUAAAAACUCUCUUCACCCAUGGCGCCAUUUUGUGAGUUUGCGGCGAUCGAAAGUGAACAUUAAGCACAACCACUGUCACGCAUAUGCUGUAAAAUAAACAAAGAAACGAUGAAUUUGGUACAACAAUUUUGUCAACUAUAAAUUAAUAAAAUUAGGUUUGUAUCACGUCGUUACAUUUAAACACAAGUUACGAAUUAAUUAAAAUCUUUAAAGCAAGUAUUGUCUGUUUCAUCGUUCCUAUUUUCAUUUCAAGUGCUCUGAUGAAGCUCACGAAAAUUUUAAUAGAUGCCGAGAAACGAAUAAUUGCAGCUUUUGAACGAUGACACGGUGGACACUGCUUCGCGUGUGUUUACGCAUCUUCAAGUUGUUAAUGACGUACAUGUACGUCCUGUAACGAUGAUAGACUCUUUGGAAAGUUUUGCGACACGUUCAUUAAGCAUAAAGUCAAUAAUUUCCUUCGGUUCAGUAUUGUUCAUCGCGUCGAUGACGUCCUCAUUUAUUUCCAUCGCGGGUAUUUUCAUUAAGCAAACUUCCUUUUAAUUAAACGAUUUAUCCAUUUUCUCGUAUAUUUUCUCCUAUAAUCUCGGCUGCGUUUAACUCACAAGAAAUGCAUCACGUGAAAGUUUCGUUUUCAUAGAUUAAAAAGGUAAUUAAAAAUUGUUUCAUGAAUAUGUAUAUUAUACGAAAAGAAUGCGUUUUAAAGAGAGCGCGUUAUUUUAUCAAACAAAUUUUUAUUCGCGACUCAAUUUUAUUCUAAAUAGUCUUCAUUCCCCUGAAAUUUUUUCCAAAUUAUAGAAUAAACUAUCGCGUUUAUUCAAAGAGAAAUAAAAUAGCACAUAUAAACGAUUAUAAACAAAUAAGCUUCUACGAUUUUCUAUGAAAAUCUUCGAAUACUCUAUAAAAACUCCGUUUUCAUUGGAAUAAAUUGUAUUUUUACGUAACAAUAUAUUUAUUUAUUAACGUAUGGGCUAAUGGUAACUAUUUCAUGGCGAAAUUACUGUUAUCGCAUGUGAUUUUGUUUUAUCGUUUGAAACUAUAGAUUAUGUUAAUAUUUCAAUUUGAUGGAUCCUGCAGAUCUUAUCUUUUUGUUCUCUUUCACGCAAUAUUUUUCGGUUGUAUUACUGGCAAGCCAUUGUCAGAUUUCCUAAAUUAUUCUUAUUGAUACUCGUAAUUUUGUAUCUGAUAAUCUCUAAUUAAAUUAAUAAUUAUCUAAUAAUUGAAAAUCUCAAUCAGUGGUUUGUACAAUUUUUAUAUUUAAUUAUAUAUAAUAAUAACAUAUGUGUUUUUAUUUCUUCUUUCAUUUUCAUUGAUUGUCCUUGACAUUAAUUCGAUGAUUGCAUGCAUGAAAGUAGAAAAUCCAAGACUCACUUGUUUAUUGGAUGCAUAUUGUACGUAAUACUAACUCCAACAGUGAAAAAGAAAUUAAAUAUUAUACUUUCACUCGUUCUUUUUAAAAAUAAUACAAUUUUAUAUUCAGCUUGACCUGGUUGGGUAGUUGAACGUGAAUUGAUUGUGAAAGCCAGGUUAAUCGAAAUCUAUUUUUGCAGCCAGAAAUUUGUUAAGAUAUUGUAUCUUCCAACAUGUCUGAGGUAAGGAUAGCAGACAGGUAAAUAUGUAAGCAAUUUUUAACUGGAUUUGAUGCAGCGAAGAGGCGGAUUUACACUGGCUAUAGAUCUUAUCUUGUUAUGGACAAAUUUACAAAAGAGAACUUUAGCGUUAUCAUAAUUGUGUGAUCAUGAAAAUAAUUUAAAUCAAUUAAAUUAAAUUAAAAAAUAAAUUUAAAAAGACACCUUAACUACGUUGGAAUGUACACACAUAUGAAACCAGAAACGCUUAUUUGUCAAAUUCGUUAAUUCCACGAAACAAGAAGCACAGAAAACUAACGAAAUUGUAUACGUAUAAUAUAACCUUCGACCAACAAGUACUUUGGUAUUAAAAUUUCAAAAAGUUCAAAAAGCCGAGUCAAUCGCAUUGGCCCGUGAGCGGUUCAAACAACUCGUAACAUGCCUGUGUAACAGCCAUACUUCACAUUUCUAUGUCUUUUUUUAUCUUCACGAACGUAACUGAAGAAGCGGAAUCAAAAUAGAAAUUUGUUUCAUCUACCAGGUAUUAUUGUAGUAUCGUGGACGAAAGGCCUGAGAGAAACCGGGCGAACCAUAAACAAUGUCGCGAGAAAGCCUAAUCAGGCCCAUCAAUGUACUAUCGGUCCUUCAAUCGAAUAGUUGCGCGAAAAAAUAGUCUACGUGACUCUGGCCACGAACGGUUGCGGUGAGUGGUGGGGCUAAGAGAAAAGACAAGGGGUUGCUAAGCGACAAAGACGAAUUAACAGACAGUGUUAGUUGAGAAGUCAGAGAGUGCGAAUUGCGUUGUCGAGAGAGUGUGGUCCGCGUGAGAGAGAGAGAGAGAGAGAGAGCGCGUUGGAAUCGUGGUGAGACGAGAGUUGCGAGUUAACUAUUGAGUUGUUUAGAUUAUAGCACGUUAUUGUGAUUAGUUCACGUUAAAUAACCAUCGUUCUUCUGUUUAAUCAACACCUGUUUAAUCCAUUUUAAAUAAACUAAUUGUAGUAAGAUCGUACAUUAUAAUUAAUAAUUUUAGAUAUUUUGUUUUGUAAUUUAAUUAUACCGUACAUUGUAUGCAUUGUGUGCACUUUUGCAUCCUCAAAUUUCCCACAAGUGCACAAAAAUCCGUAGUCCGAUUCCAACGCCCUUCGCUUAUUCCGACAUGUUAAAUUGUGAAGUAACUGAUAGACGUGUACAAUAAAACUUGUCAUGUGAUAUUCUCGUCGAUAUCCACGACCAAUCGUUACCAAUAUCUAUCAUCGAUUAUUACCAAGGAAGGGAAGGAAAAAGAAAGGAAACCUUUACAGAGAGAUGAGGCAAAUUGCCAUAACAUAUAAGCAGGAGUGGGUGCGGUGGAACGACAGAAUGUAAAUCUCACGAGGCCAUUCAUAAUGGAGAUCCAUUCAGCGAUGGCUGGCCUUAGCAGCCGGCACUAAGGAACAAACUGCGAUUUAAAUUGGACCAGCCUCCUUUGACUCGACUUGCAGCCAUUUAUCGGCUCGGAACUCGCCUUUCCACGUUUACCUUCGAGUGCCUACGCCUUUUUCCUCCCCUUUUGUGUUCGCCAUUUGUCUUCCUUUUGGAAAUCGUAUUAAUCGGCCAGAAGUGAAUUAAGACAUCCGUGUUUCGCGUACAGAUCGCUGUGAGAUCAUGAAGCGCCAUGGCGCAUCGCGUUGUGUCGUACGACAACGAGGCUUUCUUUCUUAGUAUUCUGUCAAUCUCUGUGACGUAGAAUUUACGAAUCAUCUUAGUAUCAGUGAUCUCUGGAAUUAGCGUGUAAAGCAAGUUAUGUAAUUAGUUUAUUAUAACAAGUUGUGAUAAAUUGGUAUAGUAAUUUUUGAGGUUAGUAGCGAAAACGAGAAAAAGACAAAUAAAUCAGCGGACAGAAAAAAGUGUGAAAAGAAGAAUAUAUCCCGGUAAUGUCUCUCUUGUCUUGUGUGAUUUCACUUUACCGCUUAACAAAAUGCUACAAAAUAAUUGUGUAAAAUACUCAAUAUCUGGUAUUUUUAUGUAUUUUAUACGAGUGUUUCCGAAAUCGUGGUACAAAAAGUGAGGUGGUGAUUCUACAUGUGAAAAUAAGCGGAAAAUAGGUUUGAAGUUGAAGUUGAAGCAAAUAGAUCGGAAGACGAAACGAGCAGAUGGGAGAUUUGUUGAGGAGAAUGUUAGGUUGGUAUGAUCACUAGUUCCUACAUGCAAAGUUGGUACGACUACUAACGACGCUCCUUCGUUUUUCCCCGUGUGCCACGUGUUAAUUAUCAGAGAGUAUGUUGAAAUGGUUGUACAUGGUGAUGAAAUACAGAGUAUAUAAAACUAAAUCUGUGUGAAUCAAUUAAAUAUCGAACUCCAAAACCUAUUUAAUAACAUGAUUUGCAUGUUAAACAAAAACGAAAUGUGUUUACAUCUGCAUAAAAAGUGAAAGCUUCAUGGGAAAUAUUUUGUAGUAGGUAAAGAAGUGCAAUUCCUGCACAAUAGAUUCAAUUACUUUGUACGUAGCAUAAACGUCACCAGAUAUUAUUUGGAGAGUAUACAUUUUACAUAAAUAAUUGGAUUUCAGAAUUGAUUAUUUGUAGAAAUAAAUAAAGUAUACAACAAAUAAUUCUGUGUACAUAUAUUACGGAAUUGUCGUUGUCGACAUUCUCAGAUGUUAAUUGUAUAAGCUGUAUUUAAUGCUUAGAUAUAUACAUAUUAUUAAAAUUAGUAAAUUGUUUCUGCAGUAAUCAAAUAAUUUACUCUUCACGUAUAAUAUCUGUAGUUUUUAAAAAUAGGCUUCGAUUAAAUUGUUUUGUCGUUCUUCCUAUGUUAUAGGUACCUCGUAAUUACUAUGUUACUUAUCCACUUGCUAUUAGCGAUUUACGAAAUAGCCAUCUUCCAUUAGUUACAUAUAUAUCCUGUAGCUAUCAAAUACUUAUCUGUGAAUAAAAGUAUUAUAUUUUAUUGUAACGUACCUAAACGUCUUGUUAAUGCUAUUACGAAUCAGAUGACUCCAAAUUUACUAAAUACGUAAGCAGUGGAUAAUUUCUCGUCUAUUACAAAUUAUAAUAUUAUUAUUUUUGCAAAUUAUUAAAUUUCAGGCAAACUACUAGGUUGUCCGAAAAGUUUCUUUCGUUUUAUGAGGAAAUAAUAGGCGCACAACGUUUUUUGUUUUAUAUUAUUUUGUCGAAUUACGUACGAUCCAUUUUGUUACGUUGAGAUAAACACCGCGACAUUUCACAGACUUGAUUUCACGUUUAUAUGAAGGUGCAUUAAAAAACACGUUUGCGAAAGAAAGACACUUUUCGGACAACCUAAUACUUCUCUUUAGCGUAAGUUAUAGCUCUAGCUCUAGCCCAAAUUAUAACAAAAAUACUUCAGUCAUUUGCAAGCAUCGACUUAAAAUUUUAUUUCGUUAAAACAUUUUUGAGAUUUAACGAUGAUUUUUCCCAGGGAAAAAAACCAUAAUCAUCUUAACGAGGCUCUGACAUUGUACAGGCUGUUGAAAAAAAGCCUUUACGGGGCUUAUGGUGGUUAUCGAAGGAAGCAAAAAAAUGUACUAUCAACACAGGUGCUGCGAUUAAUCCGUUCGAUUCCGUUCGAUGGUAAAAUCCAUUUUUAUCAUUUCAGAACGUUGAAUGUCGUUGUCGAGUUCCUCCGUCGAGCGUAAACAAAGAGAUUGAUUCAGAAGUACGUUGGCUCAAGGCUGUCAACACAAGCGACCUAUGAUACGUGGACGUGAGCUUUGCAUUGCAAUGGAAGGAAAACAUAUCGAACAUUUGCUGUAACAAAGAAGGUUUUUAUUUUGUUUGGCUCUAUGAAGUAAUCUCUGUUGAUAUUAGUAAUGAUUUUGUGUUGACAAUGUUCAGCUAACGCACUUCUCAAUCACUCUCUCUCUGUUUACGUUCGAAGAAGAAACUCGCUCGUGACAUCGAAUGUUUGUAAAUGAUAAAAGUCGAUUUCACGUCGAAAGGAUUGAUCGCAGGACCCACGUGGACUGGACAUUUUUUGCUCCUCUUGGUGAGUACUAUAAUUCAUGGACUCUUCUUUUGAACAUCCUGUACGUUGCAAUACAAUAACUAGACCUCAUUGUCUAAAAUUGCGAUGGUUUUCUCACGUUGAGAAAAAGAAGAUAAUUUGCCAGAUCACCGUGUAUAUCACCAGGAGGCUCGGUCAAAUACAAACCGCACUCUGUUGCUAACUUUAUACUUAGGUAAAAUGUUUCAAGAAGAACAACCGACUUAUUUUUUUACGUAUAUGUCCCGUUUUUCUCUGUACACUUUUGCCGUAGGAUUGCUAAGUUUUUCAUUGCAGUUUCACAGAAAGUGGAGAGCUGGGUCAGAAAGCAAUCGCACGCGAAUUGCUCUACUUCUUCGUUGCGGUUGAAACAUCGCCCUGCUGCUGCCUCUUUCGGUGCUCGUGAUUUUGCGGAUCUCCAACUCUCCGAAUAAUGGAAACCACGCUCCCACGACCAAUAUUUAACUUUCGAGCAAAUUUCGUCGAUCCUCGCGCGUCGAUCGUGCUCGAUCGGUUUGCCAACAGCUUCCACGUUUGCUGGUGUUACACUUGUCUCGAGGCGUCGCAGAUAAAAUGUGUUUUGAACGUUUCUUGCUAAUGUUUCAUUCCCAAACCGUAAUCGCGAUCUACGCAAAAAAUCCAGUGGUCUUUGCGCCCUCAAAUAAAGUAAGCUUAAUAAUCGUUCAUUGUGUAACCGAAGACGUACAGUUUCCUCGCUCAUUGCGCUAUCUACCGAAGAAACGAUAAACAGUGCAGCACGCGCAGUGGAACGUCUGUGAAACAUUUUUUUUUUCUUUGGAAGAAUUUUACAAUCAAUUCUUAUUGAGAAUUAUAAGUAAAUUAUUCUGGCGUGGUACUAUAACGUGUAUAAUAAGUGAUUAUCGUUAUUGAGAUAUGUAUAAUUUUAUGUGCUAGACUAGGUUAGCUGCGCAGUAGUGAUAUUUGUAUGUGAAUAUCAGUUUGUGGAAGUGUGUGUGUGCGCGGCGUCUCGAAAACAAAGGAACGUAAACUGUUCAGUUAACAGUCUGCUGUGGAAGAAGGUGAGACGCGUGCAAGUGUGUAUCGAUGAAUAUCUUUGAAAUCGUUUAUUCAAUAAAUAUAUAACUAUUCUAAUAUGAAUUCUAAGUGUAAAUUUAGUGUUUCUAUGCCGUUAUUUCGACUCUUAAGAUCCAAAAUUCUCAACAAUCGUAUGUUUGAUUCUAGCUGAAUCUAAUGUUUAAAUCUGGAGGGUAAUGCCCUUUUAGCCUGCGGAUCUGAUCCGCCGUGUCAAGUAAUUGAGUAAUGGAUUCCGGUGGUUGUUAACUCUUUGUUAUAUUUAUUACUGAAUUUGGAUAUUUCUUCUUUAAUUGUAGGUAUCUUAAGGUCGCGAUGUAUCGUUACGUUGGUAACAUACCAAGGUGCAUCUAUUAAGGAUCUUAGAGUUUUUGAUUAGAAUCGUUGAAGAAUUUCUAUAUUGGAAUUACUUGCUGUUCCCCAUAGUUGGAUCCCAUAGUUCCAUGUGGAUAAUUGACGCUGCGGAGAUGUGCCACACGCGGUCCAGUUGAUAUUUGACCGACGCUCGUACUGUACAGAACGUUUAGGAAUUUCAUGAACACCGUGACGAGACACGACUAUCCUGAUCAUAUUGGUCAAGUUUGAAACGGAUCUGAAAAUGUGUACACAAGUUAGAAGAUAUGGAGUUAAAGAGAAAGCUGCUUCCGUUUUUCGUAGCGAGAUGCAACUGGCCAUCGUGGUAUAUGCAGACCGUGUCGUAAUGGACGCGUCACGAUCCAGCGAGCACCAAUUAAAAAAAAGAGGAGACUUAUUCUCGCGACCGUCGAAGAGUUGGUUAUCAUGUGAAUUAAUGAAAUAGAAAAUUGCCUCUGGACGACGCGCACACAGCUACAAAAUCGGUGCAGGUGCGCCAGCCUGUCUUCCGUUUAAUUUCGAACAUCGACGUGAAAAAUUGGCGCGCGACCUUCUGCCUUGAUUACGUGCCACCCGGAUUCAACCUCUGGCCUCGUCGCGAGGCAAAAAUUCCUCACUUUCGUCGAGUCAGCUAUUCCUCGCGCGACCAUCCGAUUCGAACGUCGAUCAACGAUUCGAAUAUCGUGAAUUUUAACGCGAAAGCACAUUUCCCUUCAAAGCGUAAACAAUGUGAAAUCGCCGCAGAAGGCGAAAAAAUCUCGAUGAAGAACCACGAUGAGAGAAGAGAAGGGAAGGAACAAUCGGCUUGAAAGAAUACUCGUUCGUCCCCAUUCACGGGAUCAUCGGCGAACAGCGUCAAAUUAAAUUGAUCCCCGACAGCAGGUCCACCUUCGUGCCCGGCAUCGAUCUACGUUUCCAUUGGCGUUCAUCUGUUUUAUUCGUCGAAUCAGCUUGCGCGAGCGCGUAGCUGAGGAGCGUAACCAGGAUGCACACGAUCGAUCGGCGGCACCAUUGUUUCGCUUUAGUGUCAGUAUCAAUCGUGCGGGGCGUUCAUUACGACGGCAUUAACAGGCUUUUCAAAAGGAGAAAACGAUUUCCAGAAAUUGGAAAAAUGACGAAUAAAAAACCUUCUUCGUUGAAAUGCUGGAUGGAACCUUUGAAAUCGGCGAAUACGAAAGAUCCGUGGUAUUUCAGACCAGCGUAGUAGGACCCAUGCUCUUUUCGAUAUGCACAACAGAUCCUUCAGACGCCUUCAUUCAUCUGCAUUAUUCGUCAGAUUACCUUCGCCGAUGACUUCUUGCUUAUCCAGUCUGUGCCACUGACCAGGAGUCGACCGAGAAAUUACAAGCAACGUGUUUGCUGCGGGACCAGUGUUUACGUAUCGACGUAUGAAAUUCAGGUUACGCCUAUCAGAGUUGUUUCUUAUCUUCUUAAAAAAUGUUUAUUUUAUAUUAUUUCUUUCAAUUGCGUGUUUAAGGUGGUGUGCAUCUUUGGAGAUUAUUAGUGUCACGUUAAGAACGAUCAGGGACAGAACGAAUCUGUAGCAAGUUGCAUAAACCAAUCUUUCCAGUCUUUCAGAAGAUCUAGAGUCUUUUCCAUGGAGCCUUUCUUUUGUAGUAUGUUUAGAAGAUCUAGAGUCUCUUCCAUGGAGCCUUUCUUUUGUAGUAUGUUCAGAAGAUCUAGAGUCUCUUCCAUGGAGCCUUUCUUUUGUAGUAUGUUCAGAAGAUCUAGAGUCUCUUCCAUGGAGCCUUUCUUUUGUAGUAUGUUCAGAAGAUCUAGAGUCUCUUCCAUGGAGCCUUUCUUUUGUAGUAUGUUCAGAAGAUCUAGAGUCUCUUCCAUGGAGCCUUUCUUUUGUAGUAUGUUCAGAAGGAGGUAGUCUGUCUGUGAAUAAGUUUGGACAAAGGACUCGCAUAGGAAACAGGAUGUACAUAGAACGAGGCAGAAAGCAAAGGAUACGCUAGAUAAAUUCUGGAAAUUCUGCUGGCUCAUUGAAGGAACAUCGCGAUCGAACCGUAAACCUAGUACGAAGUUGUGAUUGAGACACUAUGGACUUCCGGAAUCGUACUGCAACGGUAGAAGCAGUUGAACGCCAGCUAACCAGGACCAGAGGAACGCAAAGCGGUGGAAUAAGAAAAAUACAAGAAGAAAAAAAAGUAAAAGUGUAAGAAGAGAUGACACGGAAAAGGCCAGUGAGCUCAGGUAUUGAGGAGCAAGGAGAGGAUCCUGAUUGCCCUACGUAAUGGGGAAAGUGUAAUGUUGGACCAUAUGCUAAGGUCAGGUCAAAGCCUAAUGGUUCACUGUCAGCUGGUAUAGAAUGACAUGGAUUUGGACUGUUUUCAGGAAUUCGAGGAGAAUUAAAAUGCAACAUCCUUCGAGCAACUAUCAUCCUGCUGCUCCGGUCUGCCGAAAACUGUAGGACGAGAUACCGUACGAAUAAUAAACAACGUCCAAGCCCACUAGAGAAUGCCAUAACGACGAAUCUACAUAAAACAGGCGUAAAAGGGCUCUUGUAUUGCGGUUGGACACGAAACACACGGUAUAAUAAAGAAGCGAAUCAGGCGAUUGCAGUGAGAACGAUAGAAGGAGGAGAAGAAGAGAAAAGAAGAGACACGAGAAGGAAGAAACGAAGAGGGAAAGGAUUCUGUUGCAGUUCAUAGCGAGUUAGGUGGCAAAGGUUUUAAGGCGAAGGCGAGAUAAAGCGACAGGGCGAGUAGUCGGCAGAUGAAAAUUUCGUUUCUUUCACCUACACACACCGACCUCGAACAAACGACCUCCGAUUAUAAAAACGAUGAAGCAAGAAAUUAACUUUAUGAACUGGAAGAAAAAACAGGAAAGAGAGAGAGAGAGAGAGAGAGGAAGGAGAGUGGAAAGAAAGAGAAAGAAGACCGUGACCACGGAUCUGGACCUUCUCCAAAGCUACAGAAACUGUCGGUCGUGUUGCCGGUUGUUAGAGCCGUACAAAACCAAGAUUUUAAAGUCGACAACAAUGUGCCGCAAACUGGGACGCAACGAUUUCGGUCUCCGCGUUCGGUCGUUCGUUAUUAACGUUUUCAGGACUUUAUUCCGUUCUCUCUGCCCUUUCUUUCCUCGCCGACUUUAUCUUCCUCUUUAUCGCUGUCUCUUUGUCUCCCGCGUCGGAUGUGUAUUUUACUGCACGUAAAAACCGAACCUGUAACGCGUUCAGCGUGGCCUGAUACAUGCAACACGCGUAACUUCUUUUUAUGUUUCAUACUCGCCACUUUUAUUUCUUUUUUUUCUUUUCUUCUUCGGGAGUUGGGAGGGAGAGAGGAAGGGCAGUGUCUUCGACAGUUUCGUUCCAACACGGUGAAAAUUCUUCAAUGCCGCUGCUUCCAGCGAGAGGUCAAUGUUCUGUCGUUUAUCAACCAGCAGAUUUGUACAAAAUUGGGAUAUGCAGCUGUCAGACGCAUGUAAAACACGCUGCGCGCAUUCCAUUGGUAGAAUUCGCUGUUAAUACCUCGUUUUAUCCGCGUCUCUCACCGCUGCGAACGUUUAAAUGUUAAUCAAGUUGAUUCGACGUGUUUUCGGUUACUCGGUGCUCACUGUUGAAUCGCGAAAUUCAUUAAUUUUUAAGGAGAUACUCGGACUACGUAAUGAGAAUACUUCGAAGAUACUUGGAUGGUAAUUUAACACUAGAACUACCACACCAGUAAAAUUGACUGGUUUUACAAUUUUAUUUUAAAAUUCCUACUUCGUGUUAUAUUUUUUUCCGCAAUGAUGUAAUGACUUUCGCAACGAUAACCAAAAGAAUAAUAUAAUGAAUUUUAUUUUGUUUUUUUAUGUAUUCAAGCUCCAAAUACCAAUAGUCAAAAUGACUGGUACUUUUCAAAGUGUAAAAGUGUUCUGCAAUCUGUUUGUCAAACCCCAAGUAACCAGUUGCCUCCUUUUGUACAACUUGCCACACGUUUUGAAAAUUUUUACUGCGUAUCAUUCGAUAUGAUGAUAUCAGUUAUCAGGAAAAUUCCAGAUCGCUAGAUGCUAACACUAGAAAUCCCACAGUAGUCAAAAUGACUGCUUCUACAAUUUCAUAAAUGUGUCAACCCUCGUUGGUAGAAAUAGCUUCGUGCUAACUAUCGGUAGUUCUAGUGUUAAGUAAUAAGUUUCAUUGAUAGGAGUAAUUUUCGCUUCGCGCAAAAUCAGUUUACCUUUUAACGUGCGUCAUAGUGGAAUGAUAUUUCAAUUUCAAGAAAUUUUUAAAACACUACGUUUUGUUAAUUACUAACAGAAGGUUGAAGAGCGUUAAACUGCAUCUUCAGAUGAUUUAUGGUGAUGUAGGAAUAGGUAGACAUAUGUAUGAUUUAAUUAUGCUUUUGAAACAGACCAUCUGAAUAACUUUUUUGUUCCUGUACAAAAAUAUUUCAUAUCGCGUAUGCCGAAUUAAAUAUGCAAAUCUUUUAAAUAAAUUGAUUUGCAAACGACUUAAUGUGCCAGAGAAUAAGAUGCAUUUGAAGCUUUUUUUUCCUAUUAGAAGAAUGAGAAACGCACUAGAAAUUGAGAAUGAAGCGUGUGCUAUUUCUAGAAAAGAUGCUCGCCAUGAAAGAAUUGUCUGUUAGUGAUUUGCUAGAUUUAAAACUGACCAUUCGAACUUUGAUGAUGAAAACCUGCACGAUCUAAAAACUGCCGACUGAAGACAAUAAAUAAAAAGCUAUGGUAUUAAAAAUAAAUCUAUUUUCUAAGAUA